rnacentral:rRNA from 1 species
UACGUAGGGGGCAAGCGUUGUUCGGAAUUACUGGGCGUAAAGGGCGCGUAGGCGGCACGGCAAGUCGGGAGUGAAAGCCCGGGGCUCAACCCCGGAACUGCUCACGAAACUGCCGAGCUAGAGUGCGGAAGAGGCAACUGGAAUUCCGGGUGUAGCGGUGAAAUGCGUAGAUAUCCGGACGAACACCGGUGGCGAAGGCGGCUUCCUGGACCGACACUGACGCUGAGGCGCGAAAGCUAGGGGAGCAAACGGG